AGUCGAACGAGAUCUUCGGAUCUAGUGGCGCACGGGUGCGUAACGCGUGGGAAUCUGCCCUUGGGUUCGGAAUAACAUCUGGAAACGGAUGCUAAUACCGGAUGAUGACGUAAGUCCAAAGAUUUAUCGCCCAAGGAUGAGCCCGCGUAGGAUUAGCUAGUUGGUGAGGUAAAGGCUCACCAAGGCUACGAUCCUUAGCUGGUCUGAGAGGAUGAUCAGCCACACUGGGACUGAGACACGGCCCAGACUCCUACGGGAGGCAGCAGUAGGGAAUAUUGGACAAUGGGGGCAACCCUGAUCCAGCAAUGCCGCGUGAGUGAUGAAGGCCUUAGGGUUGUAAAGCUCUUUUACCCGAGAUGAUAAUGACAGUAUCGGGAGAAUAAGCUCCGGCUAACUCCGUGCCAGCAGCCGCGGUAAUACGGAGGGAGCUAGCGUUGUUCGGAAUUACUGGGCGUAAAGCGCACGUAGGCGGUUAUUUAAGUCAGAGGUGAAAGCCCGGGGCUCAACCCCGGAACUGCCUUUGAGACUGGAUAACUUGAAUCCAGGAGAGGUGAGUGGAAUUCCGAGUGUAGAGGUGAAAUUCGUAGAUAUUCGGAAGAACACCAGUGGCGAAGGCGGCUCACUGGACUGGUAUUGACGCUGAGGUGCGAAAGCGUGGGGAGCAAACAGG
rnacentral:rRNA from 1 species